rnacentral:sRNA from 1 species
UCAUCGUCAUGUGCAAUUGAUGCUUCA